UAGCUCUGGUUUCUUUUAAGUAACGCAUAAAUAUUUCACCCUUUAUGAAAGAUUUCCGUGGAGAGGAACAUCAAUGAGCUUGAUGUAUUUUCAUGAACUUUGCUCUGACAAAGCU